GUGGGGAAUUUUGGACAAUGGGCGCAAGCCUGAUCCAGCAAUGCCGCGUGCAGGAAGAAGGCCUUCGGGUUGUAAACUGCUUUUGUACGGAACGAAAAGGCUCUGGUUAAUACCUGGGGCUCAUGACGGUACCGUAAGAAUAAGCACCGGCUAACUACGUGCCAGCAGCCGCGGUAAUACGUAGGGUGCAAGCGUUAAUCGGAAUUACUGGGCGUAAAGCGUGCGCAGGCGGUUUUGUAAGACAGAGGUGAAAUCCCCGGGCUCAACCUGGGAAUUGCCUUUGUGACUGCAAGGCUGGAGUGCGGCAGAGGGGGAUGGAAUUCCGCGUGUAGCAGUGAAAUGCGUAGAUAUGCGGAGGAACACCGAUGGCGAAGGCAAUCCCCUGGGCCUGCACUGACGCUCAUGCACGAAAGCGUGGGGAGCAAACAGGAUUAGAAACCCUAGUAGUCC
rnacentral:rRNA from 1 species